rnacentral:misc_RNA from 1 species
AAAAAACAAAAUGAAAUGAACAUUGAACUUAGGGAAAAAAUCCAUCAAAACGUACACAAUCCAUAUCUUAGAUUCUAUUAACUAGAUAAAUGUCGAAUGUUUAAUUCAUUCAAAACCCAACACUUAUAAAACGUUGGUAGGGUAUCAUGCAAUAUAAUGCAAUCAAAUUUUAUAUUAAAUUUUAAUAAAAAAUUGAUUGCAUUUCAUUACAUUCUACCAAAUUUAAUAGAGCAAUGUCCAUGUAAACCCAAAAACAAGAGUGUAAAUUAAAGUCUCUGUUAGUAAAAGUAAAAUCACUUGCUUUCUCAAUUUCUCAACAAGACUCAGUGGUAGAUUCCUUCUGCUUAUCUUGUGUAGAGGUCACUUGAUGAGUGAGACUUUCAGGUUCACUGCCCAAAAUCACUCCCUGCUUUUGCAUAUAAACCCAUUUGUCUUGUAACAAGUAAAAGAAGACAAUUAAAGAUACCUCAAUAAUGAAAAAUGUAGUCCAAAGUCUUAUGCUUUUGUAUGUCUUUUGAUGGUAAGCCUGUAAUCCUGUGUACACAUUGAUAAUUCCAAGGAGAGAUGCAGUAGUUCCAAGUAUCCAGUGCAAAAAGAACCAUAUACUUCUUGCUUUUGAUCCUCUGCAAAGAAAAUAUGCAUUUAACUCAAAAUCUUAGCACACUGUAGAUCAGAGGAACAGAGCCUCAUAGAUCAACCAGAAAGAUAAAUAUUUAGAGCUGCUUUGGUGUUGCAGGCAUGAAUGACCGAAAAAAUGUUUAGACCUUAAAAUGGAACUUGGCAAUAAGCCCUAGGUUACAUUUAGGCGGAGCUUAUUGUUUAAUUAGCUGUGUUUUUGUAUCUGAGAGUUUGUGCACCUCAUACCAUAGCCCGUGCCAAAUAAUACAACCAUUGAAUUACCUUUCCUUUUUUAUAGUAACAUGUGGAUCUCAUUAUAAUCAAUGGUUCAAUCUAUCUGUUGUAUAGACAAUGAUUGCAUGCCAAAUGGGUCUUAGUGUUUACCUAUGUGGGCGUAGCAACCCAAUAAAGGCUUGCAACCACACAAUACCAUAGAGUGCUACCCCUAUUCUUUGAUGAUGAUUAUUGAAGGCAUUGUUGAAGUAUUUUAUAGACAUCGCUGCUCCUGCUGUAGCCAGAAGUACGGACAGCAUCUGCUAAUUAAGAAUUUGAUUACGUUAAAAAUCAUUGUAGUAAUAAAAAAGAAAAUAAUCAUCUGCUGAUCAAGAAUUUAAUUGCUCCUAUUAACUAUGCUUUUUCACAUUUGUGUUUGAUAUAAAGCCUUUAUUGCAGUUGUGAUUAGUGCUAGUGCUAGUGCUGCAAAUACCUAACUUCAUAAUUGUGCUUAAUUAUAAACAAUUUAAGCCCGUAAAGCUAAAUAUGGACUGCCUAUCAACUAUAAAUCUGUCAUAAUCCGUCGUCUUUGCUUGCUUCUGAAGAUAUCACGAAAUUAACAGCAAAUUGGGUUAUCAUCAUUAUGAGACCGAGUGGGCAUCAGCCUCUAAUAAACAAAUUCCUAAGCUUUUAGUGAUUUCCUUCUGCAACUCUGUGGAAUGAGAGUGAGAAAUUAACUAGCUACAAGCUGAUCUAAUGAUAUGGAAUGUUAGACAACGUCAAGAAAUAAAAGAAAGAAGAAAAGAAAAACCUGCCUGUGAAAUAGAAUGAAGAUAGAAAAGAAUCUUGAGCCUUUUCCCACAUUCCUCUCUGUGUGACAUUCUGAUGAUGAGUAUUCCAACAGGCGUCAGGAAACCCAUUGAUAUCCAGAGGAGAAUUCCAUGGACUGUAAUCUCAAACACCAGCUUAGAACUUGGCACUAUUGUGUGGUUGCCUGUGGUUUCAACAUUCUCUGGAGAAGAGGAGACAGGAAGAAGGAAGCUUGCAUAGAUGGUGAAAGAAAACAGUUUCUGCAGAACUGGCAUUCUUUUUUGCAUAGAGGUGUAGCUCAAGACUUUCUGCAAGUGCUUCUCGUUUCUUAUGCGAUAUUGACACUACUGAGUUGCAUCUGCAUUUGCAUUCUUGAAGUGCUUCAAUAUUUCCUGCUUCUCUCUCUCUCAGAGAAUAUCACAAUAGCGCUUCCUUGGUCUCUACUUGUACGCCAGACACAAAAACACCAACACUUCAAUAAUUUCUGGUCCAAGAACAAGAAGGUUUUUCUAAAGCAGUAAUGCUCAAAAGCUAAAGCUUAGUUUCCUUUUUUUUUUUUUUUAAAGGAAAAUAAAGUAAGAUUUUUAUUUUAAUAAAUUACAGUGGGCGUUGCACGGAGGUUGAUGACUUUAGUUGAGAGGAAAUGAGUAAGAAAGCGUAGGGAAUGGGUAUGGAUUGCCGUUUCAACCAAGUGGGGUUCACAAACUUUCUGACAGGUGGAAUUUGCAAGGUGGGAAUUCAGAGAAAAAGCAAGGCCAGAUUUCAGUAGGGGUGGAAACAAGUUUGAAUUGGAAACGGGGUUUUUGGCAGAUUGCACUACCAAAGCUUUAUCCUUUGCUUCCCACUGCCAUAUCACAUGCUUCUGGUACUAUGCUUCCAU